rnacentral:rRNA from 1 species
UCAGGAUGAACGCUGGCGGCGUGCUUAACACAUGCAAGUCGAACGAUGAACUUCACUUGUGGGGGGAUUAGUGGCGAACGGGUGAGUAACACGUGAGUAACCUGCCCUUGACUCUGGGAUAAGCCUGGGAAACCGGGUCUAAUACUGGAUACGCCCUUCUGGCGCAUGCCAUGUUGGUGGAAAGCUUUUGUGGUUUUGGAUGGACUCGCGCCCUAUCAGCUUGUUGGUGGGGUAAUGGCCUACCAAGGCGACGACGGGUAGCCGCCCUGAGAGGGUGCCCGGCCCCACUGGGACUGAGACACGGCCCAGACUCCUACGGGAGGCACCAGUGGGGAAUAUUGCCCAAUGGGCGCAACCCUGAUGCAGCGACGCCGCGUGAGGGAUGAAGCCCUUCGGGUUGUAACCCUCUUUCAGUAGGGAAGAAGCCGGCUCUUUGGGUUGGUGACGGUACCUGCAGAAGAAGCGCCGGCUAACUACGUGCCAGCAGCCGCGGUAAUACGUAGGGCGCAAGCGUUAUCCGGAAUUAUUGGGCGUAAAGAGCUCGUAGGCGGUUUGUCGCGUCUGCCGUGAAAGUCCGGGGCUUAACCCCGGAUCUGCGGUGGGUACGGGCAGACUAGAGUGCAGUAGGGGAGACUGGAAUUCCUGGUGUAGCGGUGAAAUGCGCAGAUAUCAGGAGGAACACCGAUGGCGAAGGCAGGUCUCUGGGCUGUAACUGACGCUGAGGAGCGAAAGCAUGGGGAGCGAACAGGAUUAGAUACCCUGGUAGUCCAUGCCGUAAACGUUGGGCACUAGGUGUGGGGGACAUUCCACGUUUUCCGCGCCGUAGCUAACGCAUUAAGUGCCCCGCCUGGGGAGUACGGCCGCAAGGCUAAAACUCAAAGGAAUUGACGGGGGCCCGCACAAGCGGCGGAGCAUGCGGAUUAAUUCGAUGCAACGCGAAGAACCUUACCAAGGCUUGACAUGAACCGGAAUGAUGCAGAGAUGUGUCAGCCACUUGUGGCCGGUUUACAGGUGGUGCAUGGUUGUCGUCAGCUCGUGUCGUGAGAUGUUGGGUUAAGUCCCGCAACGAGCGCAACCCUCGUUCCAUGUUGCCAGCGGGUUAUGCCGGGGACUCAUGGGAGACUGCCGGGGUCAACUCGGAGGAAGGUGGGGACGACGUCAAAUCAUCAUGCCCCUUAUGUCUUGGGCUUCACGCAUGCUACAAUGGCCGGUACAAAGGGUUGCGAUACUGUGAGGUGGAGCUAAUCCCAAAAAGCCGGUCUCAGUUCGGAUUGAGGUCUG